rnacentral:lncRNA from 1 species
AGAUAUUUUUAUUCCAUUGAUCAACAAUAACAUCACAUAAAAUCUGAAUUAUAACAAUAAAUCAUAAUAUAAUACAUGAUCAUAUAUAGUCAUUAAAUCAUAGUCUAACAAUAAGGAAAAUUAUAAAUAUCUAAUACUAGGAGACACAAUAUAAUAUCCUUGACAUAAUAUUGGUAAAUACAUCUGAUGGGAAUAGUAUAAUAAACAUAUAAUUCAGUCUAGAAACAUCAAGGAUUUAAUUCCUGUAGGAGGUAGGCUUUCAAAUUUUAAUAGACAAUUUUAGAGAUAUCGGAGAUUUCUAUGUUAACCACACAUUACUCAGACCUAUCAGACAUACCUAUUGAACAUUUCAUAUGAUUUUUCUGGUCAAAGGGAGAUAACCGAAUUUUAAUAAUUUCCCCACACCCUUGCAAAUACAUUAUACGUAUGUAUAAUUGGUCAAAUAAGUAAUAGUAUGUCUGGACUUUUCUUAUAAGUAAUCUUGAAAGUGUAAAAGAGAUAUGCCAGUAAUAGAAUAUACAAGAUAAGAAUAGUAUAUAACAAAUGUGCAGAUCUUUAGGGUAAAUUUUAAAAAUCACUAUCUAGGAAAUUAAAGCUACAUUAACUUAUAUAAGAAUUAAACUACAGUAGUUUUAUUCCACAUGUUGUCCUAAAAAUCUUUGACUGUUUUUCCUAAGAUGUAAAAGAUAAAUAUUAAUUAAACUAUUUAUUAAGAAUAAAUACAUGUAUAUAUGAUUUUUUAAAACCAUUAUGUCUAUUUAUAGGGAAUACAGACCAACUCCUUUGUAUAAUAAGCUUUCUUGUCAGAUCUUAUUUAAGGGGGGUUAGUUUGGUUCAAUGUUAGCUUUCCUUAGGUAAACUGCUGGUCAACUAUGUAAAUUCAGAAAUUAGAGUUUUUAUAAAACCAAAUAGUACAACAGGGUGAUUUUUGUAAUAUCAAAGAAUCACAAUUAUUAAACAUACAUUUUUGUCCAUUAUUAAAAAAUUGCAAUAUAUAUGCAGUUAUUUCUGAUUUACACUAUUUGUUUCAAAUUCAGCUUUCAUAAACAAUAUUUUGUAAUAACAUUCGCCAUCUAUAAUAGCAUGAAGUUAUUGAGGCAAAUAAAUUAAUAAUUUAGUAGCAAUUAAACACUCCUAAAGGGAUUUUCAUAAUGCAAAAUUGGUAAAAAGUAAAAACACAAAAAUACUGAACUCCGAGGAAAAUACAAAAUGGAAAGUCCCAAAUCAAAUGGCAAAUUCAAAAGUUCAAACACAUCAAACGAAUGGAUAACAACUGUCAUAUUCCUGACUUGGUACAGGCAUUUUCUUAUGUAGAAAAUGGUUGAUUGAACCUGGUUUUAUAGCUAGCUAAACCUCUCACUUGUAUGACAGACUUGUAAACUAUAUUCUCUUAGAUCAAAUUUUGUAUUGGAUAGACAGUCAUACAUCUUUU